rnacentral:rRNA from 1 species
AGUGAACGCUGGCGGUAGGCCUAACACAUGCAAGUCGAACGGCAGCACAGUAAGAGCUUGCUCUUACGGGUGGCGAGUGGCGGACGGGUGAGGAAUACAUCGGAAUCUACUUUUUCGUGGGGGAUAACGUAGGGAAACUUACGCUAAUACCGCAUACGACCUACGGGUGAAAGCAGGGGAUCUUCGGACUUUGCGCGAUUGAAUGAGCCGAUGUCGGAUUAGCUAGUUGGCGGGGUAAAGGCCCACCAAGGCGACGAUCCGUAGCUGGUCUGAGAGGAUGAUCAGCCACACUGGAACUGAGACACGGUCCAGACUCCUAUGGGAGGCAGCAGUGGGGAAUAUUGGACAAUGGGCGCAAGCCUGAUCCAGCCAUACCGCGUGGGUGAAGAAGGCCUUCGGGUUGUAAAGCCCUUUUGUUGGGAAAGAAAAGCAGCAGGUUAAUACCCCGCUGUUCUGACGGUACCCAAAGAAUAAGCACCGGCUAACUUCGUG